rnacentral:tRNA from 1 species
UUAAAUUUUAUAUAAAAAGAGGGGCGGAUGUAGCCAAGUGGAUCAAGGCAGUGGAUUGUGAAUCCACC